UAACGCGUGAGGAACCUGCCUUUCAGAGGGGGACAACAGUUGGAAACGACUGCUAAUACCGCAUAACGCAUGGGUAUCGCAUGGUAUCUGUGCCAAAGAUUUAUCGCUGAGAGAUGGCCUCGCGUCUGAUUAGCUAGUUGGUGAGGUAACGGCCCACCAAGGCGACGAUCAGUAGCCGGACUGAGAGGUUGGCCGGCCACAUUGGGACUGAGAUACGGCCCAGACUCCUACGGGAGGCAGCAG
rnacentral:rRNA from 1 species